rnacentral:rRNA from 1 species
GAUGAACGCUAGCGGCAGGCCUAAUACAUGCAAGUCGAGGGGCAGCACGGUUAGCAAUAACUGGUGGCGACCGGCGCACGGGUGCGUAACACGUAUACAAUCUACCUUAAACAGGGGGAUAGCCUUUCGAAAGAGAGAUUAAUACCCCGUAAUAAAUUGAACGGCAUCGUUUGAUUUUGAAAGCUCCGGCGGUUUGAGAUGAGUAUGCGUCUGAUUAGCUAGUUGGUGAGGUAACGGCUCACCAAGGCGACGAUCAGUAGGGGAUCUGAGAGGACUAACCCCCACACUGGUACUGAGACACGGACCAGACUCCUACGGGAGGCAGCAGUAAGGAAUAUUGGGU